UACAGAGGUCCCAAGCGUUGUUCGGAUUCACUGGGUGUAAAGGGUGCGUAGGUGGCUUGGUAAGUUUGAUGUGAAAUCUCCGGGCUUAACCCGGAAAUGGCAUUGAAUACUAUUGAGCUGGAGGUUUGGAGGGGGGACUGGAAUUCUCGGUGUAGCAGUGAAAUGCGUAGAUAUCGAGAGGAACACCAGUGGCGAAGGCGAGUCCCUGGACAACACCUGACACUGAGGCACGAAAGCUAGGGGAGCAAACAGG
rnacentral:rRNA from 1 species